AAUACAGUACUUGUUAUGCCUUAUUAAAAAAAAGUUUUAUAACAUAAGGAAUUAUAACAAAGAAGCAACACAUAAAAUAUGACAUUCAUAUUUUUUAGUGUGUAUCAAUCGAGUUUCUGACCUAUCAGCUUUUGAUGUUAGGAUAUGGGCCUAACAUGGCUAUGACGGGUGACGGGGAAUCAGGGUUCGAUUCCGGAGAGGGAGCCUGAGAAACGGCUACCACAUCCAAGGAAGGCAGCAGGCGCGCAAAUUACCCAAUUCUAAAGAAGAGAGGUAGUGACAAGAAAUAAUAGGACAAGACUAAUUUUUUAGUUUUGUAUCUGUGCUGAUAGAAUUUUAAAACCAUUCUAAAAUUCCAUUGGAGGGCAAGUCUGGUGCCAGCAGCCGCGGUAAUUCCAGCUCCAAUAGCGUAUAUUAAAGUUGCUGCAGUUAAAAAGCUCGUAGUUGGAUUUCAAA
rnacentral:rRNA from 1 species